rnacentral:rRNA from 1 species
UACGUAGGGUGCGAGCGUUAAUCGGAAUUACUGGGCGUAAAGCGUGCGCAGGCGGUUAUGCAAGACAGAUGUGAAAUCCCCGGGCUCAACCUGGGAACUGCAUUUGUGACUGUAUAGCUGGAGUGCGGCAGAGGGGGAUGGAAUUCCGCGUGUAGCAGUGAAAUGCGUAGAUAUGCGGAGGAACACCGAUGGCGAAGGCAAUCCCCUGGGCCUGCACUGACGCUCAUGCACGAAAGCGUGGGGAGCAAACAGG